GAUGAACGCUAGCUACAGGCUUAACACAUGCAAGUCGAGGGGCAGCAUUACGGUAGCUUGCUACUGUAGAUGGCGACCGGCGCACGGGUGAGUAACGCGUAUCCAACCUGCCCAUGACUUGGGGAUAACCUUGCGAAAGCAAGCCUAAUACCCGAAAGGGGGGUUAACGCCGGAUGCUGCAAUUUUUCCGCAUGGUGGAAUUGCGAAAUGAAAAAGGUUGGGGCUGGGGAUGCGUCCCAUUAGGUAGUAGGCGGGGUAACGGCCCACCUAGCCGACGAUCAGUAGGGGUUCUGAGAGGAAGGUCCCCCACAUUGGAACUGAGACACGGUCCAAACUCCUACGGGAGGCAGCAGUGAGGAAUAUUGGUCAAUGGGCGAGAGCCUGAACCAGCCAAGUAGCGUGCAGGAUGACGGCCCUACGGGUUGUAAACUGCUUUUAUGAAGGAAUAAAGUCACCCACGUGUGGGUGUUUGCAUGUACUUUAUGAAUAAGGACCGGCUAAUUCCGUGCCAGCAG
rnacentral:rRNA from 1 species